rnacentral:rRNA from 1 species
GACGAACGCUGGCGGCGUGCUUAACACAUGCAAGUCGAACGGAAAGGCCCUGCUUUUGUGGGGUGCUCGAGUGGCGAACGGGUGAGUAACACGUGAGUAACCUGCCCUUGACUUUGGGAUAACUUCAGGAAACUGGGGCUAAUACCGGAUAGGAGCUCCUGCUGCAUGGUGGGGGUUGGAAAGUUUCGGCGGUUGGGGAUGGACUCGCGGCUUAUCAGCUUGUUGGUGGGGUAGUGGCUUACCAAGGCUUUGACGGGUAGCCGGCCUGAGAGGGUGACCGGCCACAUUGGGACUGAGAUACCGCCCAGACUCCUACGGGAGGCCGCAGUGGGGAAUAUUGCACAAUGGGCGGAAGCCUGAUGCAGCAACGCCGCGUGCGGGAUGACGGCCUUCGGGUUUUAAACCGCCUUCGCCUGUGACGAAGCGUGAGUGACGGUAAUGGGUAAAGAAGCACCGGCUAACUACGUG